GGCAAUAUCUUGAGCUUCAAUCUUGGGGGUAUGGGGUGUAGUGCUGGGGUCAUAGCUAUUGAUCUUGCUAAAGAUUUGUUGCAAAUUCAUAGGAAUACUUGUGCUGUUGUUGUGAGUACAGAGAAUAUUACACAAAAUUGGUAUUUUGGGAACAAGAAGUCAAUGUUGAUACCAAAUUGUUUGUUUAGAGUUGGUGGUGCUGCAGUUUUGCUCUCAAAUAGAUCCACAGAUAAGAGGCGGGCUAAGUAUAAGCUUGUUCAUGUGGUUAGGACCCAUCGUGGAGCUGAUGAUAAGGCGUUUAGGUGUGUUUAUCAGGAGCAGGAUGAUGCUGGAAAAACUGGGGUUUCUUUGUCAAAAGAUCUAAUGGCAAUUGCAGGUGGAGCACUCAAGAUCAAUAUCACCACCUUGGGUCCUUUGGUUCUUCCAAUAAGUGAGCAACUUUUGUUCUUCGCAACUUUGGUAGCCAAGAAAAUGUUCAAUGCGAAAGUGAAGCCUUACAUCCCAGAUUUUAAGCUUGCAUUCGACCAUUUUUGCAUACAUGCUGGGGGAAGAGCUGUGAUCGAUGAGCUUGAGAAGAAUUUGCAACUUCUGCCCGUGCAUGUUGAAGCAUCGAGGAUGACUCUGCAUCGGUUUGGUAACACUUCAUCAAGCUCUAUUUGGUAUGAAUUGGCCUACACUGAAGCAAAGGGCAGGAUGCGAAAGGGAAACCGUGUGUGGCAGAUAGCUUUUGGAAGUGGUUUUAAGUGUAACAGUGCAGUGUGGGAGGCUCUGAGGAAUGUUAAGCCCUCUACUAGUAAUCCAUGGGAAGAUUGCAUUGACCGGUAUCCAGUGCAGUUAGUUCUGUAGUUCCUGAACAAUUUGAUUAGAGACUCGAUUUAGAGAAGGGUACUGUGAUAGAUUGACUGGAAACUACUCUGCUAUUUUGUUCUAGCCUGUGUUUAUUUUCCCUUUUUUUUUUUUUUCUGAUUUACUGUGUCCGGUCAUGCGUGAUUUUUCUCACAAGUCAUGUGUGAUUUAUCUCACAAGCCAGUGUCUCACAUCAUUUCUCAAGCUGGCCUCUCAAAUAAAAAAAAGAAAAGGCUAAAUCCCUGUUCUACUUCAAUGUUUUGAUAAAUAGAAGACACCAUAGUCAUACAUUCAGCAUUAUAAUUAUCAAA
rnacentral:misc_RNA from 1 species